GGAGGUAGUGACAAUAAAUCACAAUGCGGAACUUCUGUUUUGCAAUUGGAUUGAGAACAACGCACAACACUUAUCGAUAAACAAUUGGAGGGCAAGUCUGGUGCCAGCAGCCGCGGUAAUUCCAGCUCCAAUAGCGUAUAUUAACGUUGUUGCAGUUAAAAAGCUCGUAGUUGAAGUGAAGUGUGAAUGGUUUUGAUUUUCGUUUGAAUUUCUUCUCCAUUGACACUCUUUCCAAAUAGUUUGCAUGGGUAUUUACUUAUCUGUGUAUUGCAUUUGGUCAUUUACUGUGAGAAAAUUAGAGUGUUCAAAGCAUACGUUUGUUUGAAUACAUUAGCAUGGAAUAAUCUGAAAAGGCUUUCAUGUUCGAUUUGAUUGGUUUGUUCGUGAAGGCAAGAUUAAAAGGGACAGUUGGGGGUAUUCAUAUUCAAUAGUCAGAGGUGAAAUUCUCGGAUUUAUGGAAGAUGAACAAGUGCGAAAGCA
rnacentral:rRNA from 2 species